CCGUAGGUGAACCUGCGGAAGGAUCAUUAUUGAAUUCCAACUGGGUGAGGUUGUUGCUGGUCUUUUAUGGACAUGUGCACAUCUCUCUCAUUUACCUUUCACCUCUGUGCACUUUUCACAGGACAGCUGGUGGUCAUGGACUUCUUGUCUUUGAUUGCAGGUUGUUUCUGUGUGAUUUUAUAAACCCUUUAUAACAGUCAAGAAUGUUUAUGUGUAUCUGCACAAUUAAAUACAACUUUCAGCAACGGAUCUCUUGGCUCUCGCAUCGAUGAAGAACGCAGCGAAAUGCGAUAAGUAAUGUGAAUUGCAGAAUUCAGUGAAUCAUCGAAUCUUUGAACGCACCUUGCGCUCCUUGGUAUUCCGAGGAGCAUGCCUGUUUGAGUGUCAUGGUAUUCUCAAUUCCUUCAGCUUUUGUUGAAGAGAUAUUGGACUUGGAGGUAAUGCUGGCAUUGUUCUGAAUGCCAGCUCCUCUWAAUUGCAUUAGUGUGAAUGUGCACUUUAUACUCAAUGUGAUAAUUAUCUGCAUUGUGUUAGAGGGUAUAGAUUCAUGCUUCCAAUUGUCACAUGACAUUUYAUUGACUUCUGACCUCAAAUCAGGCAGGACUACCCGCUGAACUUAAGCAUAUCAAUA
rnacentral:rRNA from 1 species